rnacentral:rRNA from 1 species
GACGAACGCUGGCGGCAUGCCUAAUACAUGCAAGUCGAGCGAACAGAUGAAGUGCUUGCACUUCUGACGUUAGCGGCGAACGGGUGAGUAACGCGUAAGGAAUCUACCUAUAAGCGGGGGAUAACAUUCGGAAACGGGUGCCAAUACCGCAUAAUAUCUUCUUCCGCAUGGAAGAAGAUUGAAAGACGGCUCUGCUGUCACUUAUAGAUGACCUUGCGGUGCAUUAGUUAGUUGGUGGGGUAACGGCCUACCAAGACGAUGAUGCAUAGCCGACCUGAGAGGGUGAUCGGCCACAUUGGGACUGAGACACGGCCCAAACUCCUACGGGAGGCAGCAGUAGGGAAUCUUCCGCAAUGGGCGAAAGCCUGACGGAGCAAUGCCGCGUGAGUGAAGAAGGCCUUCGGGUCGUAAAACUCUGUUAUAAGAGAAGAACAAAUUGUAGAGUAACUGCUACAGUCUUGACGGUAUCUUAUCAGAAAGCCACGGCUAACUACGUGCCAGCCGCCGCGGUAA